GACGAACGCUGGCGGCGUGCUUAACACAUGCCAGUCGAACGAAGAGCGAUGGAAGCUUGCUUCUAUCAAUCUUAGUGGCGAACGGGUGAGUAACGCGUAAUCAACCUGCCCUUCAGAGGGGGACAACAGUUGGAAACGACUGCUAAUACCGCAUACGAUCUAAUCUCGGCAUCGAGGAUAGAUGAAAGGUGGCCUCUACAUGUAAGCUAUCACUGAAGGAGGGGAUUGCGUCUGAUUAGCUAGUUGGAGGGGUAACGGCCCACCAAGGCGAUGAUCAGUAGCCGGUCUGAGAGGAUGAACGGCCACAUUGGGACUGAGACACGGCCCAGACUCCUACGGGAGGCAGCAGUGGGGAAUCUUCCGCAAUGGACGAAAGUCUGACGGAGCAACGCCGCGUGAGUGAUGACGGCCUUCGGGUUGUAAAGCUCUGUUAAUCGGGACGAAAGGCCUUCUUGCGAAUAGUGAGAAGGAUUGACGGUACCGGAAUAGAAAGCCACUGCUAACUACGUG
rnacentral:rRNA from 1 species